rnacentral:rRNA from 1 species
UGGUGGAGCGAUUUGUCUGGUUUAUUCCGUUAACGAACGAGACCACGACCUGCUAAAUAGUUCAAGUUAGGGUUCGCUCUAGCUGUUGUGACUUCUUAGAGGGACUAUCGGCUCAAGCCGAUGGAAGUUUGAGGCAAUAACA